CCUACGGGUGGCAGCAGUGAGGAAUAUUGGUCAAUGGGCUUACGCCUGAACCAGCCAAGUCGCGUGAGGGAAGACUGCCCUAUGGGUUGUAAACUUCUUUUCUCAGGGACGAAGCAAGUGACGGUACCUGAGGAAUAAGCCACGGCUAACUACGUGCAAGCAGCCGCGGUAAUCAGUAGGUGGCAGGCGUUAUCCGGAUUUACUGGGUGUAAAGGGCGUGUAGGGGGGACUGCAAGUCAGAUGUGAAAACCACGGGCCCAACCUGUGGCCUGCAUUUGAAACUGUCGUUCUUGAGUACUGGAGAGGCAGACGGAAUGCCUAGUGUAGCGGUGAAAUGCGUAGAUAUUAGGAGGAACACCAGUGGCGAAGGCGGUCUGCUGGACAGCAACUGACGCUGAGGCGCGAAAGCGUGGGGAUCAAACAGGAUUAGAUACCCCAGUAGUC
rnacentral:rRNA from 1 species